rnacentral:rRNA from 1 species
GAUGAACGCUGGCGGCGUGCCUAAUACAUGCAAGUCGAGCGAACAGACGAGGAGCUUGCUCCUCUGACAGUAGCGGCGGACGGGUGAGUAACAUGUGGAUAACCUACCUAUAAGACUAGGAUAACUUCGGGAAACCGGAUCUAAGACCGGAUAAUAUAUUGAACCGCAUGGUUCAAUAGUGAAAGACGGUUUUGCUGUCACUUAGAGAUGGAUCCGCGCCGCAUUAGCUAGUUGGUAACGUAACGGCUUACCAAGGCAGCGAUGCGUAGCCGACCUGAGAGGGUGAUCGGCCACACUGGCACUGAGACACGGUCCAGACUCCUACGGGAGGCCGCAGUAGAGACUCUUCCGCGAUGGACGAGUGCUUGACGGAGCACCGCCGGGUGAGUGCUGAAGGUCUUCGGAUCGUAAAACUCUGUUAUUAGGAAAGAACUAAUGUGUAAGUAACUAUGCACGUAUUGACGGUACCUAAACAGAAAGCCCCGGCUAACUACGUG